CGCACCUGCCCUAUCAUCCGACCCUGAGAAACUGCCCAUAGUCACAUCUGUUACUGUUUUAUACCCCACUAGCUCUGGUUGGCCACUGAAACAGCCCACAGCCUGUGUGUGGUCAUGCCAUUCCUGAUAACCAUUAUUCCUCAUUCCUACCCCUAUCUGAGCAAGCACUCCUGUGGUCUCUCGAUUUGAGUGCUGGUUAGUCAACGACGGGUAAGAUCCCCUUGGGGACAACCUAAGACAGGCACAGCUGCGUACGGAGACCACAUGGAAACGGGGUCAACAAUGGUAUGGCCAAGAAUCAUGCCUCCCACUGCUCAAAAAUCAACGAAAAUGGGGAAAUGUGGUGGAAUGAGAAGGCCAUGUCAAGAUGGCCACUGGCAAGCGAGUGUCAGUUACUCAGGAAUGGCUUUGAAACCCACCUGGCAAUGGAGCCUGCCUGGCAACAGGCUGUGAUUGGAUGGCUUUGGAAACUGCCUGGCAACAGGCUGUGAUUGGUUGGGGCAUAGACCGCCCCUUGACCGGAUUGGCUGGUCUUGGCUAUGUAAGAUAUUGUACCAACUGAAAUAAAUGAGUUUGCGGGCUGCUUGCCUCAAGCCUGCUUUCACCGGACUCCCGGGGUCUGUGUGGUGACUCUGUGCCUCUUGCCCCCACCACGCUCAUUCUCUCAGAAAUGAAUCUACUGCAACAUUGUUGAGAAAUCAACUGCAACAGUGAAGUAUGAAGAACUCUGCUUUGGUGACCUCAUUACAUGGCUAGCUGCUUCUCAGCAGGCAGAAAGAAACACUGGGAGCUGCAAAACACCAGUGUUGACCUGUGUGUUGUGCUCGGCAUGUGAGAGCCAGGGUGACAUAACUCACCAUGUGGGACCUGUUACCAGCCUUGUUCUGGGCUGCUUGCCAAGGUUCCCAUUACAGAUAUCCUUUAAGAAAACACUGUAUAUAUUCCUCCUCUCUGGAAAAAGGCAUGGGAUUCAAUAUGGAUAUAACUGUGUUGCAAAGUAUAAUUUUACAGAGAUACAACAAAAACAAAAGCAAGAAGAGGAUCAUGUAUUGGACAUGCACAAGGCAAGUUUUCUUGUAUUCUUAUGUUAGGAAAAAUGAGCCUGUGUCAAAAUAUGUUCAUUUUUAUAUUAGAAUUUCAAGAGAAGGUGGUUUUAAUUAUAUGAGGGAGAUUAGAAUGUUUCAUUUGAGACGGAAUCAUGAAAGAGGAAAGUCUUUGUUCCACUUGUGUACAUAUCUACCCUGGAAGACGUCUCCAUGGACUACCUCUUAUUUGUUAAAGUCUUCAGCUAUGUUACCUUCAUAUUGACGUAUGACUUACGGCGAAUGAUGCUCUCCUUUAAGAAAAGCAAUGUUCAAAACAUUUUCCAAAAAACACAUUAGUCAUUGCAAAUAAAGUACAGAGAGUUGUCA
rnacentral:lncRNA from 1 species